UGGGGAAUAUUGGACAAUGGGCGCAAGCCUGAUCCAGCAAUACCGCGUGUGUGAAGAAGGCCUGAGGGUUGUAAAGCACUUUCAAUUGUGAAGAAAAGCUAAAGACCAAUAAUCUUUAGCCUUGACGUUAACUUUAGAAGAAGCACCGGCUAACUCCGUGCCAGCAGCCGCGGUAAUACGGAGGGUGCAAGCGUUAAUCGGAAUUACUGGGCGUAAAGCGUGCGUAGGUGGUUUGUUAAGUCAGAUGUGAAAUCCCCGGGCUCAACCUGGGAACUGCAUUUGAAACUGGCAAACUAGAGUAUAGGAGAGGAAAGUGGAAUUUCUGGUGUAGCGGUGAAAUGCGUAGAUAUCAGAAGGAACAUCAAUGGCGAAGGCAGCUUUCUGGACUAAUACUGACACUGAGGUACGAAAGCGUGGGUAGCAAACAGG
rnacentral:rRNA from 1 species